CCUACGGGGGGCAGCAGUGGGGAAUAUUGGACAAUGGGGGCAACCCUGAUCCAGCCAUGCCGCGUGUGUGAAGAAGGCCCUCGGGUUGUAAAGCACUUUCAGUGAGGAAGAACGCCUGGUGGUUAAUACCCAUCAGGAAAGACAUCACUCACAGAAGAAGCACCGGCUAACUCCGUGCCAACAGCCGCGGUAAUACGGAGGGUGCGAGCGUUAAUCGGAAUUACUGGGCGUAAAGCGCGCGUAGGUGGCUUGAUAAGCCGGUUGUGAAAGCCCCGGGCUCAACCUGGGAACGGCAUCCGGAACUGUCAAGCUAGAGUGCAGGAGAGGAAGGUAGAAUUCCCGGUGUAGCGGUGAAAUGCGUAGAGAUCGGGAGGAAUACCAGUGGCGAAGGCGGCCUUCUGGACUGACACUGACACUGAGGUGCGAAAGCGUGGGUAGCAAACAGGAUUAGAUACCCUGGUAGUC
rnacentral:rRNA from 1 species